AGUUGAGCGGAGAUAUAUGGAGCUUGCUUUAUAUAACUUAGCAGCGAACGGGUGAGUAACACGUAGAUAAUCUAUCCUAUACUGGGGGAUAGCCCGAUGAAGGUUGGAUUAAUACCGCAUAUAGCUAUAUAGUUGCAUGAUUAUGUAGUGAAAGAUUUAUUGGUAUAGGAGGAGUCUGCGGCACAUUAGCUAGUAGGUGAGGUAAAGGCUUACCUAGGCGACGAUGUGUAGCCGGUCUGAGAGGAUGAACGGCCACAAUGGAACUGAGACACGGUCCAUACUCCUACGGGAGGCAGCAGUGGGGAAUAUUGCACAAUGGGGGAAACCCUGAUGCAGCAACGCCGCGUGAGUGAAGAAGGUUUUCGGAUUGUAAAGCCCUGUUAGCAGGGAAGAGGAAGGACGGUACCUGCAGAGGAAGCCACGGCUAACUACGUGCCAGCAGCCGCGGUAAUACGUAGGUGGCAAGCGUUGUUCGGAAUAACUGGGCGUAAAGGAUGCGUAGGCGGUUAAACAAGUUAUAUGUUAAAUAUAUAGGCUUAACCUGUAGAAAGCAUAUAAAACUGUUUAACUAGAGUGCAGGAGAGGUAAGUGGAAUUCCUAGUGUAGCGGUGAAAUGCGUAGAGAUUAGGAAGAACACCAGUGGCGAAGGCGACUUACUGGACUGUAACUGACGCUGAGGCAUGAGAGCAUGGGGAGCAAACAGGAUUAGAUACCCUGGUAGUCCAUGCUGUAAACGAUGGGUACUAGGUGUGGGUUGUGAAUAACAAUUCGUGCCGU
rnacentral:rRNA from 1 species